CCUACGGGAGGCAGCAGUGAGGAAUAUUGGUCAAUGGCCGGAAGGCUGAACCAGCCAUGCCGCGUGAAGGUCAGUGCCCUAUGGGCGUUAAACUUCUUUUGUGCGGGAGCAAUAAUGGUCACGUGUGGCCAGACGAGAGUACCGUACGAAUAAGCAUCGGCUAACUCCGUGCCAGCAGCCGCGGUAAUACGGGGGAUGCAAGCGUUAUCCGGAUUUAUUGGGUUUAAAGGGUGCGUAGGCUGUGCGGUAAGUCAGCGGUGAAAUGCCCCCGCUCAACGGGGUGAAGUGCCAUUGAUACUGCCUGGCUGGAAUGCGGAUGACGUAGGAGGAAUGUGUGGUGUAGCGGUGAAAUGCAUAGAUAUCACACAGAACACCGAUUGCGAAGGCAUCUCACGAAUCCGCGAUUGACGCUGAUGCACGAAAGCGUGGGUAUCAAACAGGAUUAGAUACCCGAGUAGUC
rnacentral:rRNA from 1 species